rnacentral:rRNA from 1 species
GACGAACGCUGGCGGCGUGCCUAAUACAUGCAAGUAGAACGCUGAAGAGAGGAGCUUGCUCUUCUUGGAUGAGCUGCGAACGGGUGAGUAACGCGUAGGUAACCUGCCUUGUAGCGGGGGAUAACUAUUGGAAACGAUAGCUAAUACCGCAUAACAAUGGAUGACACAUGUCAUUUAUUUGAAAGGGGCAAUUGCUCCACUACAAGAUGGACCUGCGUUGUAUUAGCUAGUAGGUGAGGUAAUGGCUCACCUAGGCGACGAUACAUAGCCGACCUGAGAGGGUGAUCGGCCACACUGGGACUGAGACACGGCCCAGACUCCUACGGGAGGCAGCAGUAGGGAAUCUUCGGCAAUGGGGGCAACCCUGACCGAGCAACGCCGCGUGAGUGAAGAAGGUUUUCGGAUCGUAAAGCUCUGUUGUAAGUCAAGAACGGGUGUGAGAGUGGAAAGUUCACACUGUGACGGUAGCUUACCAGAAAGGGACGGCUAACUACGUG